UUAUGCCCAAAUAAUUUGUUAGUCUUUGAGGUGACGCAAGGACUCGUCCUUGUUUUUGCUGAUACAGACUAACAGGACUACCACUCUGAAACCUGUCAGUAUAUACCUUGGGGUUGGCAAAUGCCUGUUAAAUGGCUUUAUUACCCCUUGAAUGUCUCUUUAACAGUUUCAGUGUUGUGCUAAUAGGUCUGGCAGGCUGGAGGUUUUUUCACUUUUAACUACUAGAUUCCCUCCCAAGGAAGACUCACCAGGCUAGAGCAGCCAUCUGUGGGAGCCUGCAGGAAGGGUCAGACCAGGGAUAGGAAAACAAGCGGUGGACACUAAGACCCAGUGGUGCCCCAAAUUUUCAGGUGCCCUACGCAGCUGCCUGUGUUGCCUAUGCCUAAGGACGGCCCUGCUGCUGAAUGCCUGUUUGAAAGCGUUGGGCCAACAGAGGCUGCUGUGGAAAUGCUCAGUGUCCUUGGCACCAUUGAAAAAUCCACGUCAGCUGGUGCUGCGGGAUGUAAGGGAAACGGAACUGACAGCUGGCGAGAAGGGGGUGCUCUCCAGACAGCUACAGCAAGAAUCUCCAUGGCUCCAGUUGUCUGAGUUUCCAAGGCAGGUCCGAAACAUGUUUGAGGACCUCCCCUUCGAUGGUCCCCAACUGUUUGCUGCAUCCAUGGUUGAAUCUUUGCGAACCUUAAAGAAUUCCAAACAAGCAAAAGUUUAGCAGAUCUCAGACAGCGAAGAGGUCUCCGCGCCUCUGGUUUCAGGUUUCCAGCGACCCUCUGAAGUACCAGAAAGAAAUCAAGGCUCAGAGGAAGAGAGCAUCCACUUCUGCUACUCAGCUUUGGAAGUCUUCUAUAUGACAGUUUUUUGACAGGCUUGACAACUCAUAACUACCCCACAUCGUAACAAAGCUGCAUCUACAUCAUCCUACUCUCUUCCAUCCCUGCAGAGACUUCCACUCCCAUUUUCAAUACCCAUGGAGCAGAUUACAUCAGAUAAACGGGUGUUGGAAGUUAUAAGAUGAGGGUACUCCACCCAUUUUACAUCCCUCCACUCCCCACCUCCUUUCCUGUCAAUCUUCAGGGACCACAAACAUCUGCUGAAACAAGAGAUCAACUUCCUUGUGUGUACAGGGUCAUAGGAUCAGUUCCAGACCAACUCAGAGGGAAUGGAUUUUACUCCAACGUUUUCCUGCCCUAAAAAAGAAUUGUGUGUGUGUGUGAACCAAUUUCAGAUAUAAGACUUGUAGGCUACUUUGUGAAAUCACGAAAAAGAAAAAUCAGGAUGGUGACUCUCACAGCCACAAUUCUAAUAUUGGAACCAGGGGAUUGGUUUUCAGCCACCACCCUUCAGGACACCUAUUUUUAUGACACAAUUCACUCAUCCCACAAGAGCUUUCUUUGAUUUUCAUUAUGCCUGGAUCACUUUCAGUACUGGUAUAUCCUUUCUUCCUUUCCUCUGUCCAGAUGGUAUUCUCAAAAGUACCAGCAGUGGUGGCAGCAUAUCUUCCUCAUGGAGUAAUAACUGUAUUUCGAAAUCUCAAGUGGCUUCUGAAGGGUUGAUCUUUACAUGAAGUUCUCUAUGCAACAAAGACACUAAUGUCCCUCUUCCUCAGUUUGGAUCUACAACUCAACUUCAGAAAAUCCACUCUGAGCCCUGUGCAAAGGAUAAAGGUCACAGGAACUUCUAAAGAAACAGUAUCAGCCCAGAGCUUACCUUCCUAUAGACAGAUUCACAACAUUAACAAACCACACCUCAGUGAUGAAGAUCAGCCUACAAAUAUCAACAACAAAUUGCUUUUUACUACUCAGACACCUCCUGGUGCGGGGCAAGAGGAGAGGUAGGGUGCCUGAGCAGGUUGAAUGGGCACUACCGCUGAAAAUCUCCUAUCAAAGGCGUGUGAAGUGUAACCGGAUGAGAAGUGGUGCGCCCGUCGGGACACACAUCUCAAAGAACCCGAAUAACAGCAUGGGGGUGAGGAACAUCUCUGUCAUGAUCCUAAGGGAAGGAAGGAGGGAGAGCAGUAGCAUAAAGACAAUAGGCUUAAAAAAGCCAACUUCAGCCAAUUCAGGGAAUCUUUUGCCUACAUCCUUUGCCCUCAGAUGUUUCGGAGGGAUCUUCCCACCAUAGAGGGGCAAGGGGGGAACUGCCAACAUCCUACAGCCACACCUAGAGCAAUUUAUUUAAAGGGGAUGCAAAGCUGUUGCUUUUUGUUGGUGGGUAUCAGUGCCUGAGGCCUGGGUGUGCGAGGGUUAACGGGCCCUGACCAGCUCCCAGCUGAGAGCCCCUUGCUGGAGAUGCACAAAAGGCUCCUUAAAGGCACAAAUCCCAACAUGUCCCGUGUGCUCCCCAGCCCCAGUCACGCGAGGCUCUCAGAGCAGCUUGAGGCCCUGCUGGCUGGGCACAUUCGCCCCAGUGAGGCAGGCUGGCAGCGGGUGUAGCUGACCAUGGCCUGCUGCAUUUCCUGGCCUGGCUCUUUCUGUUUCCUCACAGUCACUUUAAGUUUCAUUUCUCUGAGUUUCAUCUUCCUGAUCCACUGCAAGAAGAGCUGGCAGGCACCCAGGGAGGGGAGGAGGAGCAGCAGGAGAGACGUCACUCUCUCUCUGCCUGAGAAUGCCCUUCCCCUGCCGCCUUCCACUGUGCUGGGGUUGAUUGUGGGUCCAGGCAACUCUGCAGGGAGUGUAGGGUGGGGGCUGCAGCUUCCCAUCUCAUGCCCUGGUCUCCGCGCUUGUUCCCUGCAGGGUUGAGUCACUGAGGUGCUUACCAGCUAGAAGGGAGCUGUGUUCCCACAGGCUGGUUAGCCAUCCUGCCCCCAUUCCUGUUAUUAACUACCAUUCAUUACCUUAUGGGAGGCAGCGCCUAGAGACCCUCUCCAGGUCGGGACCGCAUGGUGCUCAGUUCUGCACAGACCCAGGAAGUGACAGUGUCAGCCCCCAAGAGCCCACUGUCCAAGCAGACCAGAUGUAACAGGGGGAUGAGACAAGCCGUGUGCAGAGAGAAGUGGUCUCUGCUCACACUCAUUGUCUGGGGAAGGAGGGGCACGGCACCAAGGAUGUAUACAUGGGAAUAGCACGAGCGGUUAGGGACGAAAUCAGGAAAGCCAAGGCAAAGAAUGAGUUACAACUGGCAAGAGACAAGAAGAAUGGGCUCCUAAACAUAUCAGACAAAAAAGAAAGAUCAGGGACAGUGCGGGCAGGGACAGCAGAUUUCCAUGCUACCAGCACAACAAGGAGAGUGAUGGAAAUUCUCCGAAGGCAGGCCAAGAAACUGGAGUCUGUGAGGCAGCUGACAGCAGGUUAGAGUGGGUGACGGGGCCUGUACCCCGUAACAACAGAACCAAAUUCACAUGGUGAGUGAGUCCCACAGGAGGGGUGACUAUCCCAUGUGUAACCAGCCAGCUUAGGAUGGGUUCUGCUGUUAAAUCACAUUUACAUAGCCCCUAAUACACUAGUACACCCGAUUCCCCCGGAGAGGGGGAAAUCCACUAACUGCUUUGUCUUCUAAGGCAGCAAAUGCAGCCUGUGUCUGGACAGCUAGGUGCUACGUGGUGAGUUCUGCUAUUUGGUCUCCUCUCACCAGAAAACUGGGGCAGAGUGUGUCCAAUACGACAAGAAGGAGGGAGCCAGACACACUAAGAUG